UCGGCCAUAUCAUGUUGAAACAUUGGUCCUUGCACGAUCACCGAAGGUAACCAACGUCGAGCCUGGUCAGUACCGAGAUGGGUGACCUCUUGAGAAUACCAGGAGCUGUAA